CUGUAAUCCCAGCACUUUGGGAGGCCGAGGAGGGUGGAUCACCUGACGUCAGGAGUUCGACAGCAGCCUGGCCAACCUGGGAAAUCCGUCUCUAUGAAAAACGUAAAAAUUAGCUGGGCGUGGUGGCGGGCACCCGCAAUCCCAGCUACUCAGGAAGCUGAGGGGAGAGACUCGCUGGAACUCAGGCGGAGGUUGCAGUGAGCCGAGAUCGCACGUGCCACUGCCCUCCAGCCUGGGCGACAAGAGCGAAACUCGCUUUCAAACAAAACAAGCAAACAAAAACCCGAAACCAACCAACCAACCAAAAUCUGAUUCCCGAAUGCGUGAAGAAACUGAUUUGAGUAAUAAUAAAACUCCGGUCUACCGCACAGCCGGCUCUGCGUGAAUUACUCUUUCGCCAUUGCAAUUCCCCUGUCUUGAUAAAUCGGCUCUGUCUACGCAGCGGGCAAGGUGAACCCACUGGGCAGUUACAGCAUUAUUAGGUAUAUUAACACUGUUGUGCAAACAUCCCCACUCUCGGUCUCCAGAACUUUUUGUCAUCCCACACUGAAACUCUACCGAUUAAACACUAAGUCCCCAUUCUCUCCCCAGGGUUUUUAACAAGCCGUGUUAAACCGAAGGGGCACCUGCUUGCCAGGUGGAGGGCUGGGCACUGGGAGGGUUCUGCCCUCCCGACUGAGCAGGGAUUCCCGAGGUGACUAAGCACGCUCUCUGGGUAGCGCUCCCGCCCUCACCUAUUGUCCGGGUGGAGGAACCGGUAUUUCCGGAUUGGGGCCUCAGACCCAGUGAUCCCGGCUAAGGGCGAGACUGGCGGGGGAGGGGAACGGAAGCGGGUCAUAAAAGUUAACUUUACACUAAAAUCGUUAACUUGUCUCACACCCCUCAAUAAAACCUGUGACCUCCCCGCCCCUCCAAGAGCCCCCCGCGCACCCACAGUGGCCCACAACCAUGCUUCCCGGGGGCUUUGAAGCGUAGAGGAGCUGACCUCCUCCUUGCCCACACCCUGGAGAGGAUCAGGAAGCGGACCUGGGCACGCAUAGAGAAAGAAGCCCAGCAAAUUCCUCUUGCACCCGCUC
rnacentral:lncRNA from 1 species